rnacentral:rRNA from 1 species
UACGUAGGGGCAAGCGUUGUCCGGAAUUAUUGGGCGUAAAGGGUUCGUAGGCGGUAAUACAUGUCAGAUGUGAAAUCUUGUGGCUUAACCACAUCAAGCAUCUGAAACUGUAUAACUUGAGUGGAGGAGAGGUAAGUGGAAUUCCUAGUGUAGCGGUGAAAUGCGUAGAUAUUAGGAAGAAUACCAGUAGCGAAGGCGACUUACUGGCCUCUAACUGACGCUGAUGAACGAAAGCGUGGGUAGCAAACAGGAUUAGAUACCCUGGUA